rnacentral:tRNA from 1 species
ACUUGGUGGUGAAGCGGAGUUGCACCGGCGCCUCCCAGGCGCCGAAAUGCCGGAUCGCCGCCGAGAGCGAGCC